AUUGAACGCUGGCGGCAUGCCUUACACAUGCAAGUCGAACGGUAACAGGUCUUCGGAUGCUGACGAGUGGCGAACGGGUGAGUAAUACAUCGGAACGUGCCCGAGAGUGGGGGAUAACGCGGCGAAAGCUUUGCUAAUACCGCAUACGAUCUCAGGAUGAAAGCAGGGGACCGCAAGGCCUUGCGCUCACGGAGCGGCCGAUGGCCGAUUAGGUAGUUGGGGGGAUAAAAGCUUACCAAGCCGACGAUCUGUAGCUGGUCUGAGAGGACGACCAGCCACACGGGGACUAAGACACGGCCCAGACUCCUACGGGAGGCAGCAGUGGGGAAUUUUGGACAAUGGGCGCAAGCCUGAUCCAGCCAUGCCGCGUGCAGGAUGAAGGCCUUCGGGUUGUAAACUGCUUUUGUACGGAGCGAAAAGACUCUGGUUAAUACCUGGGGUCCACGACGGUACCGUAAGAAUAAGCACCGGCUAACUACGUGCCAGCCGCCGCCGUAACAC
rnacentral:rRNA from 1 species